rnacentral:rRNA from 1 species
CCUACGGGCGGCACCAGUGGGGAAUAUUGCACAAUGGGCGCAAGCCUGAUGCAGCCAUGCCGCGUGUAUGAAGAAGGCCUUCGGGUUGUAAAGUACUUUCAGCGGGGAGGAAGGCGAUAAGGUUAGUAACCUUGUCGAUUGACGUUACCCGCAGAAGAAGCACCGGCUAACUCCGUGCCAGCAGCCGCGGUAAUACGAAGGGUGCAAGCGUUAAUCGGAAUUACUGGGCGUAAAGCGCACGCAGGCGGUCUGUCAAGUCGGAUGUGAAAUCCCCGGGCUCAACCUGGGAACUGCAUUCGAAACUGGCAGGCUGGAGUCUUGUAGAGGGGGUAGAAUUCCAGGUGUAGCGGUGAAAUGCGUAGAGAUCUGGAGGAAUACCGGUGGCGAAGGCGGCCCCCUGGACAAAGACUGACGCUCAGGUGCGAAAGCGUGGGGAGCAAACAGGAUUAGAUACCCCAGUAGUC